rnacentral:rRNA from 1 species
CCUACGGGAGGCUGCAGUGGGGAAUAUUGGGCAAUGGGCGCAAGCCUGACCCAGCAACGCCGCGUGAAGGAAGAAGGCUUUCGGGUUGUAAACUUCUUUUCUCAGGGACGAAGAAAGUGACGGUACCUGAGGAAUAAGCCACGGCUAACUACGUGCCAGCAGCCGCGGUAAUACGUAGGUGGCAAGCGUUAUCCGGAUUUAUUGGGUGUAAAGGGCGUGUAGGCGGGAGCGCAAGUCAGAUGUGAAACCUCAGGGCUCAACCCUGAGCCUGCAUUUGAAACUGUGUUUCUUGAGUGCUGGAGAGGCAAUCGGAAUUCCGUGUGUAGCGGUGAAAUGCGUAGAUAUCGCGCAGAACUCCGAUUGCGAAGGCAGCAUGCCGGCUCCACACUGACGCUGAGGCACGAAAGCGUGGGUAUCGAACAGGAUUAGAUACCCGUGUAGUC